rnacentral:rRNA from 1 species
GAUGAACGCUGGCGGCGUGCUUAAUACAUGCAAGUCGAACGGAGACUGUAGCAAUACUGUCUUAGUGGCGAACGGGUGAGUAACGCGUUGGUGACCUGCCCCGAAGAGGGGGAUAACAGUCCGAAAGGAUUGCUAAUACCCCAUGUGGUCAUUUGGAUUAGAUGCCUUAUGACUAAACGGAUUUAUUCGCUUCGGGAGGGCCUGCGUCCCAUCAGCUUGUUGGUAAGGUAACGGCUUACCAAGGCGAUGACGGGUAGGGGACCUGAGAGGGUCGACCCCCCACAAUGGAACUGAAACACGGUCCAUACACCUACGGGUGGCAG